GAUGAAGAACGUAGCGAAAUGCGAUAAGUAGUGUGAAUUGCAGAAUUCAGUGAAUCAUCGAAUCUUUGAACGCACAUUGCGCCUUCUAGUAUUCUGGGAGGCAUGCCUGUUUGAGCGUCAUUAAACCUCUCUCAAGUAUGAUUACUUGGAUGUGAAGGAAGAGUACCUUAAACUUAAGGAGUGUUCUCCUUUGAGAUUGAUUAGCAGAUGGUAAUGUUAUUAAAUCCCUGAUGUUGUAAGAAAUAACAGUGGUUUUGUAGACUAUUAUCUAGCUUUAAAUUAUAAUUUUUAUUAUGGUUGACCUCAAAUCAGGUAAGGAUACCCGCUGAACUUAAGCAUAUCAAUAAGCGGAGGA
rnacentral:misc_RNA from 1 species